UUCCUGGGCAGAGGUGAGUCACACCUUCUCCUCUCACCAGACUCUGAGCUAAUUCUCCACAGGUGAGGAGCAGGGGGAGCAGCAGCUGCAGGAGAUUUCCCCAAUCAGGGACGCGGGUUCAAAAGGAGGAUGGAGACACAUCACUUUGCCGGAUGAUUGCACCAGUUUAGGAUCAUCUCAUCAUCUACUCACCCUCGCUGUCUUCGUUUUCUGGAACAUACUCAUCACGUCUCAUCCUCCUCCGCCGUUCCUGUUUGGCUUUCCCUCUGCUACCUCACCCCUCCUGGAUCUCUCAUCCUCUGCCCAGCGUCCUCCCCGGCUUCCCCUCCUCUACUGAUUAACCUGAGCACCUCAGAGACUCGAGCCGUGUUGCUCAUCCCACAGGACUUCCCUGUGCGGUUUCAGUUCCCGUUUUUAUAAUAAAGACAUUUUACUUUA